rnacentral:lncRNA from 1 species
GCCACAGUUCACUGGAAACAGCCAGUUCAGAUAAGUAAAAUGAAAGCAGACAAUAGUAGAAAUAACAAAAGAUUUGUUCUUAGGAUUGAUUAAAAAUUUAUAUCAGAGCAUUCAAGUAAAGUUAUUUUCUGUGUUCUGAUUUAAUGAAUCAUGUGAGUUGUAUCUUAGGACAGGGAAGGCACAUGUCAGUCUAAAGUAAUAUCAAAGAAAGAGAGAGCAGUGCUGGAGACAUCAUGAGCGUGACUGAGCGUGAGCAUCUGUAAGUUUCCAGUUGCCUGUGGGCUUCAAUGGCCUAACCAACACCACCAGCAACAGCAGCAAAAGCAAUGAGUGAGCCUCAAAAGAUUUCCCCAAUUCAAGCUGAAAAACACUACACCUACUAAAUGGUUUUAACCCUUUUGAAAAAUAGCCUUAGAAACCACCAGUGGUUUCUUAAGAGGCUUCUGUGAAGAUCAGGUGUAUAAAAGGCACACAUUGGCAGAUCAGCUUUCUGUCACGACUUGCCAGCUCCGACACAGCUUCUUGGAAGAAAUGGAGACCACUGGACAAGAGAAGAGUCACAUAACAAUACUAAAACGUGCGGACAGCCCUUUGGCCGGAUGAGGCACCACGAGAUAAGGGCUGUUUGUUCACUGUAUUGUAGCAAACAAAAUGGAAUCCAGUAUAUAACCACAAAGAGUUGAAUAGCAGGAAUAAAAAUGA